UAAACUAGAUCAACCCUACAAAAUGUCAAUUCUAACAUUCCCUACUCCCCACUGAGUGCUUGAACUACUCAGCUGCAGAACCAGGCUCCUUCCUGUGAAAGUGGAUUCUGGCGGUUGUGCUUCCGAACUAAGGGAAUGGAGACCAGUCAUCUACAGAAAGUGCACAGACACUCUCUGGUUGCUCCUCUUCUUUCUUUUCUGGGCUGGUUUGAUGUUUAUAGCUGGCUAUGCUGUGAUGGCUGGUGCUGCAGAAAGACUUUUGCUUGGAUAUGACAGCUUUGGGAACAUAUGUGGUAGAAAGAACACUCCUGUAAAAGGGGCACCCCUUUCUGGACAGGACAUGACUAAUAAAAAGUAUGUCUUCUUUCUGAACUCAUGCAGCAUGGAAAUGCAAAGCCUCAAAAUCAGCUCACUUUCCUUGUGUGUGUCUAGUUGUCCACAAGAGCAACUCAACUCUUUGGAAGACCUCCAGAGUUUUGCAAGGAAUAAUGGUUCUUGUCUUUGUGUUUACAACCUGAACAUUUCCAGUUACACACUAAAUCCAAAGGCAGCUGAUCUAUGUCCCACGCUGCCAGUUCCACCAAGUAAAUCUUUUCCAUUAUUUAAUCGAUGUGUUCCACAAAAUCCUGAAUGCUAUUCCAAAUACGCAUCUGUCUUAAUAAGUAUGGUUAAUGAAGUGGAUGUUUUUCACCGCAUUCUGAGUGGAAUAUUGGCAGGAAGAGAUACUGUGAUAGGACUGAGCAUCCUUGCACUAGCCUUCUCUGUUAUACUAGUUUUAGUGUUCAGAUUCAUUCGGACACUUCUGAUCCAUACUUUGAUUGCACUGGUUGUGUUCGGGUUGUUAUUUGUCUCAGGUGUUCUCUGGUGGCUCUAUUACGACUACAGGAAUGAUCCCAGCACUGAGUUGGAAACAGAAAAGGAAAAUGUAAAAUUUCUACUUGGAUAUGCUAUCUUCUCAACAGUAGUUACUAUUGUUCUGCUUUCCCUUAUACUUGUGCUAAGAAAGAGGCUUCAGUUCACUGUACAACUCUUCCGAAUUGUUGGUAAAAUAAUUGGCAGAAUUCCUCUCCUCCUGUUUCAACCACUCUGGACGUUUCUGAUUCUCAUUGUGUUCUGGGUAUUUUGGGUUGCUGUUCUACUUAGUUUAGGAACUGCAGGUACGGCACAGACUACUUCAGGAGGACAAGUAGAAUACAGAGGUCUGUCUGGAAUUUGCCACAUGGCAUGGUAUCAUUUUGUUGGCCUUAUCUGGACUAGUGAAUUCAUUCUUGCCUGUCAGCAGAUGACGAUUGCUGGGGCAGUGGUUACUUGUUACUUCAACAGAAAUAAAAAUAGCCCACCACCUCACCCAGUCCUGUCUUCCAUAUCAGUUCUUUUUUGCUAUCAUCUAGGAACUGCUGUAAAAGGCUCAUUUCUAAUCACAAUACUGAGAAUACCAAGAAUUGUUCUCUUGUACCUUUACAAUAUCCUAAAACAAAAGGAGAGUGCAUGUGCAAAGUGCCUUUUCAAGUGCUGUUUCUGCUGGUUUUGGUGCCAGGAAAGUUGCCUAAGAUACUUUAACCAGCAUGCAUACACAACUACAGCCAUAAAUGGGACAAAUUUUUGUACAUCAGCAAAGGAUGCUGUCUUUAUUUUGGCAAAGAAUUCUCCCAAACUUGCAUCCAUUAGCUGUUUUGGAGAUUUUAUCCUAUUUCUAGGAAAGGUGUUUGUUGUAUGUUUUACUGGUUUUGGAGGAUUGAUGGCAUUUAACUACCAUCGGGAGUUGCAAGCUUGGGUGGUUCCUCUGUUGCUGGUUGGAUUUUUUGCAUACGUGAUGUCCCACAGCUUUCUGUCUGUGUUUGAAGUGACAGCAGAUGUCAUGUUCCUUUGCUUUGCUAUUGAUAUGGAAACAAAUGAUGGAUCCGCAGAGAAGCCGUACUUCGUAGAUCAAGAACUGCUGGUAAACCCCAGUGAUAACAGCAAAGAUACUUGAGCCAUUGUCAGCUUUUGGGACUUUUUCAUUCCCCAAGACCUAGUAAUUUGAACACACAACCCAUGCUAUUUCCUUCCCAACACCUUAGAACAGGAUGAGCUCAGGGACACAAAUAUGUGAAUUUAUAAAAUGAAGUAAAUGGCUCCCUCUGACUCCUCUGUGCUAGCUAUGAUCUGCUGCCUUCUUUUAGAUCAUACCCUCUAAGUAACAGCUGACUUUUUAGGCCUUUAUUAGUUAUAUGUUCAAUAUAUGGCUGGUAAUUAAAAACUAUGAAUGAAUAGAUGAGCUAGCUGCAGACACCGAACCAUGGGGUGCCCUAAGAUUAGAUGGUUGUAUUUGUUGUGACAUACUGUACAGUGAUGAGCAAAAGUAAACAAGGAGCUUCUCGUUGCCAGCAGCAGGUCAUCCUGUAGUUCUGAACAAACUUCAUGCAAACUCGAGUUGCUCUGCUUCAUACCUAUACAGAUUCUUUUGCCAAAAUACUGUCUUCUGUCUCUUGAUUUAAUUCUUCUUCCGGAGUGAUUGUUCUGUGACUUUACCCUCAUAAUUACUGUAUUGUAUUACAAGCAUUUCCAUGGAGAAUCAUAAUGCAGCUAAUAGUGAUGGAAAGCUUUAGUUAUCCGAAGCAUUUUAAUGUAUAUAUGCCAUCCCUUUCAUCUUAAGAAUAUCUGAAGAUGCAGAUUUUUUUUCCUUUCAUGCUGUUUUUGCCAGUUCUGUCUUUUCCUUUAUAAACCAUGCGACAAAGAAAAUCUUAGUGAUUCACAAAAACAAACUCAGCAGCCAGAAUAGCUCAUAUGAUACGAAUAUUCUGGAUGGAUUUCUUCAGGACAGUGUCGGAAGAAUUAAUCUGCUUUUUUUUUUUUUUUUAAUGCAGCUGUUAGAUUCCCUGUAAUGUUCAUAGAAUUUAGUUGAAAACAAACAAAAAAAAAGGCAGCCUAAAGAUAGGCUUAACCCUUUGUGCAGAAGAAAGCAGAUAGAUAUUCUUUGGCUUCAAUUCAGAACAGUACUUUAGCACAUGUCCCGAAUAGGAAUAUGUUACUGAAUGGAAAACUGAAGCCUUGACCUCUGUUCUUCUCCCUCUGUUUUGCCAACUGCUAAAAUACUUCUUAAGCCAACUCUCCUUCAUGAAACAAAUAGGCCACUUCCAAACUUUGUGGUAGUUUCUCUUUAACAGUGGCCUUAAUUCCUUGUAAUUAGCCAUGCCCUAGGUCUUCCAGUGAAGAGAGGACUUCCCACAGGGGUAAAGGAGUCCAGUAAGCAGGGCAGACUGUAUAACCUUGUAUGGAAAAAUUGGGGGCAGCACAUCCAAACUCCUCCUCAUUGCCUGAUAAAGUUUUCUUAUGUAGGCAAGAACUUGGAGUUUUCCAACACAUGAAGGCAUGUGAUGUGGGACGUCUAUGUUACAAACAUCUGGGGGUGGAAGGGAGGCUCCCUGGCCCUCAGGACAAUAUGCAGCAGUGGGUGGAGAGCUGGGUGAGGGAUUUCAGCCAGCCAGAGUCCUCAUUCCUGUAGUAGGGGAUGUAACAGAGAGUCUUGAUUCAUCCUUCUCAGUUGUAUUCAUCACCCUUGCUGCCUCUGCAGAGUCCCUCCCGGUAUCACUCAGUGUCAUCCAGACUUUUGUGAGUCAGAGUAACAAGUUAACAGAAGGGCAAAAACACAGAAGCAUGACACCUUUCCAGGACAACGAAGAUGAAACAGAGCUCCAACCUAUG